CCCUAUUAUAUUUUAUAAUUAAUUUUAUUAUGAGGUAGUAAAUGUUAUAUUCAGGAAACUUAAAGAAUUUGGCGGUGUUUAUUCAUAUUAGAGGAAUAUGUUUUGUAAAUGAUAAUCCACAAUAAUCUUAUUUAAUUUAAAAUAUUUUGUAUAUCUCCGUCUUAAAAAAUUUUUUAAAUAUAUAUUUUAAAUAGUUUAAAAACUAUAAGUCAGGUCAAGGUGCAGAUUUAUAAUUAAAGAAAAAUGUAUUACAAUAAAUUUAUUUAUGGAAUUAUUAUGAAUAUAAUAAAAAAAUUGGAUUUAAAAGUAAGAUUUAUUUGUAUAAUAAAGGUUUGAAUUU
rnacentral:rRNA from 1 species